AAGGAGUUGGAGCAGAGAGCAGUUUGGAGGAGUUGAAGUAGAGGAGAGUUUGGAGAAGUGCCAUGGCGGGCUAGAAAACCAAGACCCUAGACUCUGGGGCCCAAUUCACUGGUGUCCCCACUGCUUCUUUGUGCUAGCUAUGCUGUUGGCCACUAUUAAUUGGUGCAGCUUAUAGCAGUCUUCAGAUUGUUUUGAUCUACACCAAGAGACCGGCCCAGUACUGAAACAGAUUCCCCAGAAAAAUUAUACUUUGUGAUGAGAUGCUGCCUGUGACAUUUCAGAACAAUGCUGCAUUUCUUCUCCAGGUGCUGCUCACCUUUCUUUUCAACUGCUCAUCCUCAGCUGCUGCUCCUUUUAUUUCUGCUACUGGCGAAGGGCAAGUGUCUGGAGAUGUCUCUUUGUACUACAGUGCCUUGUGCUGCCUGAUACGCUGCAGGCCUAUUUUUCACUUUCAAUACUGGCAGAAGAAGAUGUGACAGUCAUGGAUUACACACGACAUUAAUCUAGGAACUAGAGCUUGAACAGUGGAGUAAAAGUCAACAAAAAUGAAAGUGAGAGUGAAUAAAAAAAGUUACCUGAAACGAAAAAUAGGCUGAGCAAGCCAAUUUCUGACCAUACUCUGUAAUUGUUGUUCCCUCAUCCUUCCCCCCACCCACAACCAUCUGUUUGUUCCAUCCAUCUGGUACAUCUUCUCAUAAGCAUGACUAAACUCUGGGAGCAUCUGUCCUCCAUGUCUGUAUAAUAUCUUGCAUAACGGGCCUUGAUCUCUAAUUGAGGACUCUAGAAUGGCUGCCAGAGUUUAUCUAUCGUUUGAAACUCUAACCAACCUUCUUCUGAAGUUCAGAAAAGCUCAGAUAAUGUCUGCUCUAGCAGUUCAAAUAGUUCACAUAAGUCUUGAAACUCUAGAUAC